GGAGAAGUGGCUCAGUGGUUAAGAACACUGAUUGCUCUUCCAGAGGUCCUGAGUUCAAAUCCCAGCAACCACA
rnacentral:tRNA from 1 species